rnacentral:tRNA from 1 species
GGGGUUGCGGCUCAGUGGUAGAGUGCUUGCCUAGCAUGCAUGAGGCACUGGGUUCUAUCCUCAGCACCACG